rfam:Triticum aestivum genome assembly, contig: Triticum_aestivum_CS42_TGACv1_scaffold_196371_3AL
AAACGGCCCACCUCCGUUCCGAAUUACUUGUCGCAGGCAUGGAUGUAUCUAGAUGUAUUUUAGUUCUAGAUACAUCCAUUUCCGUGACAAGUAAUUUGGAACGGGGGGAGUAGUAU